GACGAACGCUGGCGGCGUGCUUAACACAUGCAAGUCGAACGAAGUGGCGAACGGGUGAGUAACGAGUAAUCAACCUGUCCUUCAGAGGGGGACAACAGUUGGAAACGACUGCUAAUACCGCAUACUGAUGGCGGGGAUUGCGUCUGAUUAGCUAGUUGGAGGGGUAACGGCCCACCAAGGCGAUGGUCAGUAGCCGGGCUGGGAGGAUGAACCGCCACAUUGGGACUGGGAAACGGCCCAGACUCCUAAGGGAGGCAGCAGUGGGGAAUCGUCCGCAAUGGACGAAAGUCUGAAGGAGCAACGCCGCGGGAGUGAUGACGGCCUUCGGGUUGUAAAGCUCUGUUAAUCGGGACGCGGUACCGGAAUAGAAAGCCACGGCUAACUACGUGCCAGCAGUCGCGGUAAUUC
rnacentral:rRNA from 1 species